UAUAACCAGUGUCGUGCC
rnacentral:siRNA from 1 species